CAAAUACUCCCUCCGUUUGGAACUACUUGUCUCGGAAAUGGAUGUAUAUAGAACUAAUUUAGUUCUAGAUACAUCCAUUCCCGAGACAAGUAAUUCCGAACGGAGGGAGUAGUAC
rfam:Triticum aestivum genome assembly, contig: Triticum_aestivum_CS42_TGACv1_scaffold_050158_1BS